ensembl:lncRNA
GUGAGUCCAGGGUGCAGGCAGGGUUGAGCCCACCUGGAUGAGGUGCUUGAGUCCAUCAUCUCAGUGAAGACGGGGUGAUGUUAGUGAGCAUGUACAGUCUUCCCUCAGUAUCCCUGAGGGAUUUGUUCCAGGAUUCCCCAGAGAUACCAAACUCCUCAGAUGCUCAAGUUCCUUAUGGUAUAAGAUGGUGCAGUGAGGUCAACCCUCCUAUUUGCGGUUCCACAUGAGCAGAUUCAACCAACUGCAGAUGGAUCUGGUUGGUUGACUUGCAGGCUGCAGAAUUCCUGAAUACAAAGGGCCAACUGUGUGUUAUAGAAGAGAAAAAAGCUGACCCAGCCCACCCCGCAUUCUCCUAGAGGGGAAUACUUUGAAUGGCGCUUGUCACCAAUGUGCUUAAGUCCAAAGCCAGGGAGUCCUCCUCCUUUUCCCUUCCUUUAGUGAUGCUGACCCGGUUGUUUACCAGAGCCAAGGAGGAAGGACCAGCUGGCUCUGCCCUGAUGCUGCACAGCUCAUGACGGAUGGAUUCCAGCCCUACUUAUCCUCCCUGUCCUGUGGGGCCCAAGUAAAUAGGGCUCUUUUGUAUGAGGAACCCCGGAGUUGCUGAGUGCCCAGCCCACCAGCCCAUGUGGCGGGAUUCAGAGUGGCAAGGAUAAGCUGGAUUAUUAGAGUAAACAAGAAUGAGGAAGCCACACCUGGAUGAAGCCUUCCCAGCACUGACUCAGAGUCUGACCCGGCACAACCAGAAAUUUAUGUAUCUGGCCACUCCUGAACAACCGCCAUGCACAUAACAUUUCCAGAAACUACACAAAAUAGAAAUACAAGAUCUUAAACAAAAAUGCAAAGCAAAUCCAAGAUAAAAGGUUUAUCCUGACCAAAGUUGGUUUGUUUCAUGAGUUGAUUUAAAAAUGAAAAAAUGAUGUAAUUCAUCAUAUUGACCAAGUAAAAGAGAAAAACCAUUAUCAUCUCAGAUGUAAAUGUAAA